UACGAAGGGGGCUAGCGUUGUUCGGAAUUACUGGGCGUAAAGCGUGCGCAGGCGGUUCGCCAAGUCAGGUGUGAAAUCCCCGGGCUUAACCUGGGAAUUGCGCUUGAAACUAGCGGGCUUGAGUGUGGCAGAGGGGGGUGGAAUUCCACGUGUAGCAGUGAAAUGCGUAGAUAUCGGAAGGAACAUCAGUGGCGAAAGCGGCUUCCUGGACCAGCACCGACGUUCAGGCACGAAAGCGUGGGGAGCAAACAGG
rnacentral:rRNA from 1 species